rnacentral:rRNA from 1 species
ACUGUGCAAAGGUAGCAUAAUCAUUUGUCUCUUAAUUGGAGGCUGGUAUGAAUGAUUGGACGAGGUAGAGGCUGUCUCAUUAUUAUAAUUAUAAUAAUUUAGCUUUUUAGUUAAAAGGCUAAAAUUUUUUUGGAGGACGAGAAGACCCUAUAGAUCUUUAUAAUAUUUAAUUUACUUUUAUUAUGGUUACAAAUUUUUUAGUAUAUUAUUAAUUAUUUUGUUGGGGUGACAUGAAAAUUUAUUUAACUUUUCAUUAAUUUAAACAUGAAUUAGUGAAUAUUUGAUCCAUUUUUAGUGAUUAUAAGAAUAAGUUACCUUAGGGAUAA